GUCCUUGUUCAGUCAGUCAUUACUGGGGCAGCAUGGAGCUCAGUCUGCUCUCCCUGAUGCUCUUGCUGGUUGUGCUCAUCCACUGUGGACAAACUCAAGAAAAGCCCAAACUGAGGGUGGAGCCUCAGAGCCCAGACACAGUUACUCUGAGCUGUGAGCUGCCACAGUCUACUGGAUGGACGAUUGUAUGGCAGAAAAACUCUGAUGUUUUACAACAUGAUCUGACCACGAUCACUGAAACACUGCCUAAAGAAGGUGGAGCAGAGUUCAGAUGUGCAGCACACAGGGGAAACGAUUUUACACCAUUCAGUGAUCUUGUCAAGAUUACAGUAGUAGGUAUGUCCUGUUUUCUUUUUUCCUUGU